rnacentral:tRNA from 2 species
CAGUAGCUCAGUUGGUUAGAGCACCUGACUGUUAAUCAGGGGGUCGUUGGUUCAAGCCCAUCC